ensembl:lncRNA
AUAAAUACAUACUUUUUAACUGAAAGCAUCAACUUGCUGUUUGUGCACCACACAAAGGAAAAUUUGCCAGUGAAAAUAUUAGCAGGAUCAAGCAUGUUGUAGAUGUUGUUCUUGUCUACCCUUCAAAAUGCUGACCAGCUAUUUGCACAUAUAGAUGCCUUAGAAUCCCAGAACUGUAGGACCACAGAAUGGCCUGCAUUGGAAGGGACCUCAAAGCCCACAUGGUCCCAGUCCGUGCCAUGGGCAGGGCUGCCCCCCACCAGCUCAGCUGCCCAGGGCCCCAUCCAACCUGGCCUUGAGCGCCUCCAGCGAUGGGGCACCACAGCUUCUCUGGGCAGCUGUGCCAGCGCCUCACUGCCCUCUUAGUGAAAAAUUUCCACCUGUCAUCUAAUCUAAAUCUAAUCUAAAUCUCUCCUCUUUCAGUUUAGCUCUGCCACAAGACUCCUGUAGCUGUUACUUCCACUCAAUUGGAGGUGACUGUCCAAUUGUAUGUAGCAACGAGGUAUGUCCACCAGAUGGCUCUACUUCAAGGAGUAAUACAAUUCUGUUGUGUUGGAAUAAAUUGCAGUGGCUGCAUGGUCUGACCUUGGACAAAACAGGUCUUUUGGAUUGAGGGAGCAGAACUGGAACGCAGGAUGCCUGCUGAUCGGGAAGUGCGCUGAGAUUUCUCCUACAGACUUAGAUUCUAAUUUCAUUUGUAAUUUGGAAUGGCUCCCAGUGCUCUGCAAGGCCUGUCUAAAUGACUAGAAGGCAAUGAAGACCCUGGACUGGGAUCAAAAUCUAGUAUUGUGUCAUAUCCCAGAUGGACAUUAAGGAAAGUAUUCUGUUUUUUAUCACGUUUGCUAAUUCUCUUUUCUUAUUCCAUGUGCUGGUAGAGAAGAUGUUUAACUAACAGAAUUCCUGCUUUGAGCACUUGUUUACUUUUUAUUCAUUUUGUAGAAACACUACAUCAGGGUUUGAGCACACCUUAGUCUGAGACCUGAAAUCUGACAAUCCUGCCAGGGUAUAUAUGGUGAGGUCAGUAUUAUUUUGAGUUGAUGUGCAAAAGAAAUGGACUUAAGUGGGUGAGUGUAAACCUAAACUAUCUCAAAUACUCUCAUUGUUGAACUGGCAGUAAUCUUUUUGUUUGUUCGCACUGUGCUAUAGUUCUUUCAAAAGCAAUCUGAUUACCAGACUCCCUCUCACUUUCCUGUAGUGACUCUACCACCGUGUACAGGUUGGUUGUUCCUCCAUGACUGACUUCACUAUUGCUGAUUCUUUGAACUGUCAGCAAUCCUGUCAUCUGCUAAUUAAGGAUCUAGAGUUUCAAUCGCAAGAAACGUAAGGAUGUCGCCAUGAUUUGUACAAAGGUUUCACCAAUGGUUCCAGAAAAAUAAACAUGACUCUACUGUCUUUCUAGCUGUCUGACAUCUUCACAAUAGGGUGAUGAACUAAGAAGCCAGGUUUUGGUUCUAUACUCUGCACAUAAAGAGAAUACACUUUGAUAAGGAUAUGGGAGAGAGUGAGAAGAGGACAGCCUGGAACAUGACCAUGCAAAGCUGUUUGUUCGUGCUCUUGCUGGUCCCGUGCACAGCUGAACUCCCGAAGCUGUGCGUACUCAUCGCUCCUCCCAUCCCGCAGCGGUACGGCUGGAGGACAGGUGAGUGCGGCUCCAUCCGAACGACGUGCGUGCAGACGGGUCGCUCCCCAGAGCGGGUGGGAAGGGACGUGGGAUUCACACGAA